UCCCUAGUGGCUCAGAUGGUAAAGCGUCUGUCUGUGAUGCAGGAGACCCAGGGUCAAUCCCUGGGUUGGGAA
rnacentral:tRNA from 1 species